AUGCGGGACUCAUCAGAGGCCUCGCAAUUGGAAUGAGCGCACUUUAAAUCGUUCGACGAGGAUCUAUUGGAGGGCAAGUCUGGUGCCAGCAGCCGCGGUAAUUCCAGCUCCAAUAGCGUAUAUUAAAGUUGUUGCAGUUAAAAAGCUCGUAGUUGGAUCUGGGGUUCGGGUCGGCGGUUUGCCGCUUCGGCGGCUACUGCCGUGCUCGACUCUUACUAGCCGGUGCGUCUUGCGGUGCUCUUCAUCGAGUGCCGUAGGAGCCUGGCAUGUUUACUUUGAAAAAAUUAGAGUGCUCAAAGCAGGCGAUUCCGCCUGAAUAGUGUUGCAUGGAAUAAUGGAAUAGGACCUCGGUUCUAUUUUGUUGGUUUUCGGAACUUGAGGUAAUGAUUAAGAGGGACGGUCGGGGGCAUUCGUAUUUCGGUGUUAGAGGUGAAAUUCUUGGAUCGCUGAAAGACGGACAAAUGCGAAAGCAUCUGCCAAGAACGUCUCCAUUAAUCAAGAACGAAAGUCAGAGGUUCGAAGACGAUCAGACACCGUCCUAGUUCUGACCAUAAACGAUGCCAACUAGCGAUCCGCAGUGGUUGCUAUAAACGGACUCUGCGAGCGGCUUCCGGGAAACCAAAGUGUUUGGGUUCCGGGGGAAGUAUGGUUGCAAAGCUGAAACUUAAAGGAAUUGACGGAAGGGCACCACCAGGAGUGGAGCCUGCGGCUUAAUUUGACCCAACACGGGGAAACUCACCCGGUCCGGACACUGUAAGGAUUGACAGAUCGAGAGCUCUUUCUUGAUUCGGUGGAUGGUGGUGCAUGGCCGUUCUUAGUUGGUGGAGUGAUUUGUCUGGUUAAUUCCGAUAACGAACGAGACUCUAGCCUGCUAACUAGUUGCGCCGUGUUCAUACGCGGCUGUAGACUUCUUAGAGGGACAGGUGGCGUUUAGCCACACGAAAUUGAGCAAUAACAGGUCUGUGAUGCCCUUAGAUGUCCGGGGCCGCACGCGCGCUACACUGAAGGAGUCAGCGUGUGCUAUCCGGGCUCGGAAGAGUUCGGUAACCCGUUGAAACUCCUUCGUGCUUGGGAUUGUGGCUUGUAAUUAUCGCGCAUGAACGAGGAAUUCCCAGUAAGUGCAAGUCAUCAGCUUGCGCUGACUACGUCCCUGCCCUUUGUACACACCGCCCGUCGCUACUACCGAUUGAAUGGUUUAGCAAGGUACUCGGAUUGGUCUCGAUCUUGUACGAAAGUGCGGGAUCUGUGGCCGAGAAGAAGGCCAAACUUGAUCAUUUAGAGGAAGUAAA
rnacentral:rRNA from 1 species